CCUACGGGUGGCAGCAGUGGGGAAUAUUGGACAAUGGGGGGAACCCUGAUCCAGCCAUGCCGCGUGUGUGAAGAAGGCCCUCGGGUUGUAAAGCACUUUCAGUGAGGAAGAACGCCUGGUGGUUAAUACCCAUCAGGAAAGACAUCACUCACAGAAGAAGCACCGGCUAACUCCGUGCCAGCAGCCGCGGUAAUACGGAGGGUGCGAGCGUUAAUCGGAAUUACUGGGCGUAAAGCGCGCGUAGGUGGCUUGAUAAGCCGGUUGUGAAAGCCCCGGGCUCAACCUGGGAACGGCAUCCGGAACUGUCAAGCUAGAGUGCAGGAGAGGAAGGUAGAAUUCCCGGUGUAGCGGUGAAAUGCGUAGAGAUUGGGAGGAAUACCAGUGGCGAAGGCGGCCUUCUGGACUGACACUGACACUGAGGUGCGAAAGCGUGGGUAGCAAACAGGAUUAGAUACCCGGGUAGUC
rnacentral:rRNA from 1 species